rfam:Schistosoma rodhaini strain Burundi genome assembly, scaffold: SROB_scaffold0002259
AUCACGCUGACGAGUCCUAAGUAGGACGAAACGCGCGUUCUGGAU